UCUCUGGAGGUCCCUUCCAACCCCUACAGUUCUGUGAUUCUGUGAUUAUGUGCGUCGCACAGCGUUUGCAUUUGGCCUUCAGUUCUGUCCGCCUGCGGUGCAGCUUUCUGCCAGUGCUGUGUGCAGCCGUGCUCUUGGUGCUCUCAGAGUGAUGCCCUUCGCCGACCCUCUGCCCCACCAUGCAGGUGCAGCCCGGCGCUGUGUGGGUCGCAGAGCCAUCCUGGGGCCAUCCGUGUGCCACCAGCAGGACAGGAGGCACCUCGGGGCCUGGCUGCCGCAGCAGGAACCUCCGCAGGCUGCAGCGGCGUUCGAGGGGCCCGUAAUGCUUUGCAGACCCAUUUUCUCUCUGUUAUUGUUUCAAACUCCCCGUUAGCCGUUCCCGCUUCCCAGGUUUCCGUGUGUUUCAAAUUAUUUUCCCCAGAGGCAUCGGCAGCAUUUUUCCAAAUUGAAUCUCAUUUAUUUUCUACCCAGGUUUCCAAUCUCUCUGGGGCCCUUUGUAUUAUUUCGCAGUCCGCACUGCCACGUACAAUAUAUCCCAAUUUAGUGUCGUCUGUGAAUUAUAUUAACGUGCCCUUUAGUUCCUCCUGUAUGUAAUGAAGAUAUUUCCAGCAUUAAAAAAAAAAAAAAAAAAAACCUCUCCAAAAUAUGUUUUAUUAAAACACAAAGGUAGAGACUUAAAAACUCCUCCUUGGGUUCCCAACGUGAAUUGUGCUGGGAAAAAAAAAAAAAAUAAUGAAAUCUUCGACAUAUUUUUUUUUAAGGAGAAAUUAAAACCUUCAAAACGUGCAAGUUGGGGGUAUGGCAGUAAUUGGUGUCACAGUGAGCGCUGUGCAGUGAGCCUGCAUGCUGCGGCCCCUGGGGGUGAUGGAGGCAUCGCCUGUGUUUCUGCAGCACCGCUGCCUUGAGCCCAUGGUUGAAUUUCUCCAUACGUUUGCUCGCUUUCCCUCCAUGACCUCUUUGGGUUUCUUUUCUGUGGCUGCUCCAGCAAGCAUGUACACUGGCAGGAGUGAUGCUGAAGCAGCAUGUUUUAAUGCAAACGGUGCCGGCUUAUUCAUAGGAAGCGACUUUCAAAUUCAUGAUCAUGAAUAUUUGCACGGUAAGGCUGAUUCUGUUGUGAGCUUUUAUUUAUAAGCUGAGCAGCAGUGCCUGGUGGUGCCUCUGUGUCAGGGAGUGUCCUAGCAGAGCAGCUCCGGUUUCCAACUGUGAAGGGAGAGCAGUGCUGGCAGCAGGCAAUUUGCUGGGGAUGCGUGUGCUGAAGUAUUCGCUGCAUAAUUUCUAGCAAGGAGAAAUUUCGUGGAGGCUAUGAUCUGCUUGUGAACAGAAAUAAGGUGUGAAUGGGAUCUGUAAAUUGUUCUCUGCAAAUGGUUUGCGAGCUCAAGAGGACUUUUUGAGAAGCACUGCCGUCUUUCCUCUGUGUGCUGAUGCUCAGCUCGUGGGUGCAAAUGGAUGCUGGGGAGAGCUGCCCCAAGUGUCUUUCUUCCAGCACAUGCUGACUGCUGGCCCCCAAACUGAGGGCUUCACCGCCUGUGUCUCUCUGUCCCCCUUCUGUCAGUAUAGCCAUCUUUCAGCAUCACAACAUGAGCCUUUUCCCCUCCCUUGGGCUGUGGCAUGGGGCUGUGCCAGGGACAUCCCUACUGUCUCUCAGGGUGGGUUGGUGACACUGCAGGUGCUGCUGUGCUGGUGUGCAGCAGCUGUAGGAAAUUAGAGGAGCCAUGGAGCUGUUUUGGGAAACACCAGGGGAGAUGCCUGAGGUUUCCAGACCACAGUCUCCCACAGGCACGGGGUCCAGCAGGAGUGAUGCCACUGGGAAUACUGGGAGCAGUGAUGGGCUCGGUGCUCAGAAACUGCCAGGUAGGUCCUCACUUGUUGCUGCCUGAUGGCCGGGUUGGUGGCAGGGCUGUGGGGCAUUGCUUACUCCUAUGCCAGAGAUGCAGCAUAGCUGCUGCAAUGCCUCGCAGGUUUUCUGAAGCACUAAAGAUGAAGGCUUGCCCUCUUCAGCAUUACUUUGUGGAAAGCUGAGGCCUUCAGGACUUGCUCUGUUUCUGGCUUGUGCCCACAGAAAGGUGCCUGGCUUGUAGAAUACUUGCUCCUCCUAUGAACGGGGGCACAGUUCCCUUUGGUUUCACCUGAGCAGAUGAGAGCCUGAUUGCUCGUCCCCAGAUGCUGCUUCCCAUCUUUCAUGGAACUAAAACCUUCCAGAAAGAGUGUCUAAAAGCCAUGUCACGUGAAGCGGUAAUGUUUGCACUGGGACUCAUACAUUAGCACAGGCAGAUGUGCAAAAAGCUGGGCCCAACAAUCAGCUUAGCAAUCUCAGGUCUGAUGAAGCUGUGCUUCAUUUGUUCUACCUGAAGGCUGGAUCCACUUCUUGCCACCCAAACCACCUUUCCUUUAGGUCUUUGUCGUGAAGACUCCAACUGUGGAGGUAUUGUGUCCUGUGCCCCAUGGGCCUGCCUGCAGCCACCCAAGCAUGGGGUGAAUUCCCUGUGCUGCUUUAGCUUGUCCCCCGUUUUGAAGCAGCCCCAGCCCUGGGGGCUCUGUGGGGAGAUGUCUCCCUAUGAGAUGCACGGCCUGCAAUCACCACAAGCUGUGGGAAACCACUGGUGUCCUCUGCCCGGUGUGGGUCAGGCCCAUCCUCAGCUGUCCCCCGGGGACAGAUCUGGAGCUGCGUUGUUCUGCACCGUGGGCCAAAUACUGCGUUUUCUGACCCAACGUCCUUCCUCCCCUUUAUCAGUAAUUUUAAUCAUUUUAAUAACGUCCCCUCGCACGGAUAGGAUUACAAUUAGGGAAAGUCAGAGCCUUGUUAUCAUCUAAUUAGAGUCACAUUUCAGCCAAAGAGAAAGGCAGAUCUUCAGGCACUGCUUUGUGCAGUGCAAUGGGAAGAACGCGGUGAUGCAAACCAGCUGCAGGCCGGGCACUGGGUGCCACUUGCAGCCCUCUGAAGCCAUGGGUGCAAAGUGCUCCUGGGCGGCUCUGGCACGGCAAAGAGCUGUGGUGUGUUCCAUCACGAACAGUGCCACUGUCCGGCCCCAGCAGCCAAGGGAGUCAGUGAAGCAACACAACCCAAACCAAAAUAAACACCGCUAUGCGCUGCCAGAAUGCCUUUAUUGUUCUGUGGGGGAAGAGGGAGACAUUUUGGGGCUGGGAGGCAGAGCCAUUCCCCUCCAUGAGCUGCGAUGGGCAGAAAUGGAGGAGGAGGAGGAGGAGAAGGAGGAGGAGGGCUGGGCUUCUUUUUUUCCCAGAUCAGUGUAAUCCAAAUGCUUUCCAGAGCUGGGAGAAAGAGAGCAGGGUUUCUUUAAUGGAAAUGAAAACCAUCUCUGAUUUCCUUUUAAAGCGCGCUAAAACGUUUCAUUCGACCUGAUGCGAAGCGUUGCGUUUCAUUUUGAGUUUUAAUUAAUUUUGUGAUCCUUUCAUUAAGCUAAUUUCAAAGGAGAAAUGUUUCUCUUAAAACUGGAAGUCAGAACAUUUUGAAGAUCAUCUCUGCCUCUAAAAUGCCGCUUUAAAGCAUCGACUGCUUUGCUCUCUGUCUAGAAACCCAGGUUAACUCCCGCCUUUGCAGAGUCUCCAAGUGCUUUGGGAGUUAGAACUAAAGAAAGGGCCACGUUCCUCACCGAGUGAGUGCUGCUGCCUGUGAUCCUGGGAGGAAAGGAGACGGUCUCACCUCAGCCAUCCCUGCUGCUGGAAGCACUCGAGUGCUGGGAGGCAGAGAGGCAGCCCCAGAUGGUCAAGAUGCCACUGAGACAGCUGGGAAGUAAAUAACUUCUUAGCACAGCCGACCACCGGCCUCUCCAAUGGCUGCAGUGCCUGUGCCAGUUGGGGAUGCACACGGAGCUGCACGGGUAAUGGCAACAGCACAGCCCCUCUGCAAGUGAUGGAGGCACGGGGUGAGGCUCAGCUCCUGCGCAGCGCCGCUCUCUUCCAUCACGAGUUCAAACCGAAAGGUUAAAAGCGUCUAAUUAUGCUGAUGCUUUCCCCCCUGGAUUAAACAAGAGGAUAAAUA